UACAGAGGCCUCGAGCGUUAGGCGGAAUCACUGGGCUUAAAGCGUGUGUAGGCGGACUUCUAAGUACCUUGUGAAAUCCCACGGCUCACCCGUGGAACUGCUCGGUAUAUUGGUCGUCUUGAGCCUUCUAGGGGCGAGUGGAACAAAUGGUGGAGCGGUGAAAUGCGUAGAUAUCAAGAGGAACACCCAUGGCGAAGGCAGCUCGCUGGCCUAUAACUGACGCUGAGGCGCGAAAGCUGGGGGAGCAAACAGG
rnacentral:rRNA from 1 species